CAAAAUUGGCUGCAAGCUCAUGUCUCAAUUUCUUUUCGCAAGUCAAAGGACGAGAUGGAGGCCUUGGAGGAUGAAUUUCAUGAAUUAGUUUUAAAUCAAGCAACAACAGCAGCAAGUUCUAGUUCCUGUUCAAACAAAGGUGGUACUCGUACCACAGUUAAUAUUGAUGAAUGAUCACUGAUUGGGAGGAUGGAAGGUCGCCUUUUGUAUAGGAGGCAUUUUUUUGGAUAUAUUUUGAAGCUUUUUUGGACAUAUGUGUAGCUUUUCUAAUUAUAAUUAUACAUGAACUCUUGUCUUGCUUAGAGGAAGGAAAACUUAGCAUCUGUGUAGGCUUUCCUCUCUAUAAGUUAUGGACAUGUUAACUAUAGAAAAUAGAGUAGUUCUCUACUGCCUUAGGAAAGCUAUU